AGUGAACGCUGGCGGUACGCCUAACACAUGCAAGUCGAACGGCAGCACAGUAAGAGCUUGCUCUUACGGGUGGCGAGUGGCGGACGGGUGAGGAAUACAUCGGAAUCUACUUUUUCGUGGGGGAUAACGUAGGGAAACUUACGCUAAUACCGCAUACGACCUACGGGUGAAAGCAGGGGAUCUUCGGACCUUGCGCGAUUGAAUGAGCCGAUGUCGGAUUAGCUAGUUGGCGGGGUAAAGGCCCACCAAGGCGACGAUCCGUAGCUGGUCUGAGAGGAUGAUCAGCCACACUGGAACUGAGACACGGUCCAGACUCCUACGGGAGGCAGCAGUGGGGAAUAUUGGACAAUGGGCGCAAGCCUGAUCCAGCCAUACCGCGUGAGUGAAGAAGGCCUUCGGGUUGUAAAGCCCUUUUGUUGGGAAAGAAAAGCAGCAUGUUAAUACCCCGCUGUUCUGACGGUACCCAAAGAAUAAGCACCGGCUAACUUCGUG
rnacentral:rRNA from 1 species